UGGUUGUUGCUGGUUGCUGUUUUGCUGGGUUGCUGAUUGUUUCUUGGAGAAUGAGGAUUGAACUUGCCCCAAGGAACUCAAUGCCCUUAAUUAGCAUGGAACCUGAACUUUGAGCAGCAAGAAGGAGGAGCAUCAGAGAAGAGACUGAGCAGGAAGCUGGUCCUGGGAGGAGCCUGGCUUCUGCUUGUAGAGAACUUUGCCAUAGACUCAGCGAGGGCCAUGCUGGCCAGAGAAAAGAGAGUCACAGCAGUAUCGAGGAUACUUCCCUUUCUCCCGGAGGAAUCAUCUGGAAGGAAUGACUCCAAAAGCCUCACUAGGCCGGGCUCUCCUGUGUGCACUGUGCCUCAACUUUGACCUCAGCCUGUGAGUUGAUUCAGACCCUCAUUGGAUGGGUCAUCUUUCCUCAGAAAAAAAUCUCCGUGAGAAUUGCAACACACCCAGAAGUGUGCCACCUAGCUGAUCCCAAAUACAGUCACAUUGACAGUGGGAACCGAGCAGCACAACCAUCUUUGGGUCUUGCGCGUGCCCUGACUUGCCAGCAAGAACAGGAUCCUUCUGCACAUGUUUAUUGGGAGAGCUUGAUUGC